rnacentral:misc_RNA from 1 species
GAUGAAGAACGUAGCGAAAUGCGAUAAGUAAUGUGAAUUGCAGAAUUCAGUGAAUCAUCGAAUCUUUGAACGCACAUUGCGCCCGCUAGUAUUCUGGCGGGCAUGCCUGUCCGAGCGUCAUUUCAACCCUCAAGCCCCCGGGCUUGGUGUUGGGGAUCGGCGAGCCUCCGCGCCCGCCGUCCCCUAAAUCUAGUGGCGGUCUCGCUGUAGCUUCCUCUGCGUAGUAGCACACCUCGCACUGGGAAACAGCGCGGCCACGCCGUUAAACCCCCAACUUCUGAACGUUUGACCUCGGAUCAGGUAGGAAUACCCGCUGAACUUAAGUAUAUCAAUAAGCGGAGGA